rnacentral:rRNA from 1 species
GACGUAGGGCGCGAGCGUUGUCCGGAUUUAUUGGGCGUAAAGAGCUCGUAGGCGGCUUGUCGCGUCGACUGUGAAAUCCCGCGGCUCAACUGCGGGUCUGCAGUCGAUACGGGCAGGCUAGAGUUCGGUAGGGGAGACUGGAAUUCCUGGUGUAGCGGUGAAAUGCGCAGAUAUCAGGAGGAACACCGGUGGCGAAGGCGGGUCUCUGGGCCGAAACUGACGCUGAGGAGCGAAAGCGUGGGGAGCGAACAGG